UCGCUUUGGCAACACAUACACUAAAACUGUAACUAUACAGAGAAGAUAGCUAUCUUCUGCCUAAGGAUGACAUACAAAUUUGUGAAGCAUUCCAUAUUUUA
rnacentral:snRNA from 1 species